AGAUGGCGACCGGCGCACGGGUGAGUAACACGUAUCCAACCUGCCGAUAACUCGGGGAUAGCCUUUCGAAAGAAAGAUUAAUACCCGAUGGCAUAAUAGAACCGCAUGGUUUGAUUAUUAAAGAAUUUCGGUUAUCGAUGGGGAUGCGUUCCAUUAGGCAGUUGGUGGGGUAACGGCCCACCAAGCCUUCGAUGGAUAGGGGUUCUGAGAGGAAGGUCCCCCACAUUGGAACUGAGACACGGUCCAA
rnacentral:rRNA from 1 species